AGAAAUCUCACCAGGCCCGGACACUGGAAGGAUUGACAGAUUGAUAGCUCUUCCUUGAUUCGGUGGGUGGUGGUGCAUGGCCGUUCUUAGUUGGUUGAGUGAUUUGUGUUGUUAAUUCCGAUAAGGAACGAGACUCUGUCCUGCUAAAUAGUGACGCGGUUCAUCGAACCGUGGGCCACUUCUUAGAGGGACUAUCGGAUUCAAACCGAUGGAAGUGUGAGGCAAUAA
rnacentral:rRNA from 1 species